GUGGAGGUUUAGCUCAGUGGUUACUUCUGAAACGCUCACUGUUCCUCUAGCCCGCUGGUCCUCAGGGGCCAGGGGUUCAAACCGCGGGCGCUGUCCUCUGCUUUU
ensembl:vault_RNA Vault Vault RNA